UAUAUGUUAGAGUGUAAGCGAGGAAA
rnacentral:piRNA from 1 species